AACUUUCAACAACGGAUCUCUUGGUUCUCGCAACGAUGAAGAACGCAGCGAAAUGCGAUACGUAUUGUGAAUUGCAGAUUUUCGUGAAUCAUCGAAUCUUUGAACGCACAUUGCACCCUCUGGUAUUCCAGAGGGUAUGCCUGUUUGAGCGUCAUU
rnacentral:rRNA from 1 species